ACUCCUACGGGAGGCAGCAGUGGGGAAUAUUGCACAAUGGGGGAAACCCUGAUGCAGCCAUGCCGCGUGUGUGAAGAAGGCCUUCGGGUUGUAAAGCACUUUCAGUAGGGAGGAAGGUAGUGUAGUUAACACCUGCAUUAUUUGACGUUACCUACAGAAGAAGCACCGGCUAACUCCGUGCCAGCAGCCGCGGUAAGUACGGGAGGGUGCGAGCGUUAAUCGGAAUUACGUGGGCGUAAAGCGCAUGCAGGCGGCCUGUUAAGUCAGAUGUGAAAGCCCGGGGCUUAAACCGUCGGAAUUGCAUUUGAAAACUGGCAGGCUAGAGUCGUUGUAGAGGGGGUUAGAAUUUCAGGUGUAGAGGUGAAAUGCGUAGAGAUCUGAAGGAAUACCGAGUGGCGAAGGCGGCCCCUGGACAAAGACUGACGCUCAGAUGCGAAAGCGUGGGAGC
rnacentral:rRNA from 1 species